rnacentral:rRNA from 1 species
UACGUAGGUGGCAAGCGUUGUUCGGAAUUAUUGGGCGUAAAGCGCACGUAGGCGGAUUGUUAAGUCAGGGGUGAAAUCCUGGAGCUCAACUCCAGAACUGCCUUUGAUACUGGCAAUCUUGAGUCCGGAAGAGGUGAGUGGAACUCCUAGUGUAGAGGUGGAAUUCGUAGAUAUUAGGAAGAACACCAGUGGCGAAGGCGGCUCACUGGUCCGGUACUGACGCUGAGGUGCGAAAGCGUGGGGAGCAAACAGG